CCUACGGGUGGCUGCAGUGGGGAAUAUUGCACAAUGGGGGAAACCCUGAUGCAGCGACGCCGCGUGAGUGAAGAAGUACCUCGGUAUGUAAAGCUCUAUCAGCCGGGAAGAUAAUGACGGUACCUGACUAAGAAGCCCCGGCUCACUACGUGCCAGCAGCCGCGGGAAUACGUAGGGGGCAAGCGUUAUCCGGAUUUACUGGGUGUAAAGGGAGCGUAGGUGGCAGGGCAAGUCAGAUGUGAAAACCCGGGGGUCAACCCCGGGAGUGCAUUUGAAACUGCCUAGCUUGAGUGCAGGAGAGGUAAGCGGAAUGCCUGGUGUAGCGGUGAAAUGCAUAGAUAGUAGGAGGAACACCAGUGGCGAAGGCGGCAUACUGGACUGUAACUGACGCUGAGGCUCGAAAGCGUGGGGAGCGAACAGGAUUAGAUACCCGUGUAGUC
rnacentral:rRNA from 1 species